AGCACUCUGCAGACAAUGAUAGAUAGAGAUGCACAAAAAUUGGCAUCUUCCUUGUCGUCUCUAUAAUAAUAAAUCUCACUGUCUCUAAUAACUCUUGACUUUUUUCGCCUUUCUCUUUUCUCUAUCUUCUUUUCCCUUUUUCUACAUGCGACUGGUUUUUGUUUAAUCAAAGAUUACUUACUGCUUUCUCUUCAACAACUCCCGUGCUGUCUAAGGAGCACAGUAUGUGGAGAAGAAGACACAGCAGAAAUUCCAAUGGUUACCUUAUUUUGUUACUCUGUCACUUAGCUGUCCACUGCGCCAAUUCCCAGCUUCAGAAUUCAUGUGCUUCGGCUACGGACUGUGGAGCUGGUUUAUACUGUGGUAACUGCCCUGAAUUGGGAAAGAAUCAGCCUUUUUGCAUUAGAGGACAAGCUACUGAACCCACUUCUGUUAUCAGUGGAUUGCCCUUCAACAAAUACUCGUGGCUGGUGACCCAUAAUGCCUUUUCAAUUGUAAAUGCACCCUUAUUGACUGGCCCUCAGAGAAUUACAUUCUAUAAUCAAGAAGACACUGUCACUAACCAAUUGAGAAAUGGAGUGAGGGGAUUGAUGCUGGAUAUGUACGAUUUCGAGAACGAUAUAUGGCUCUGUCACUCGUUUCGUGGCCAAUGUUACAACUUCACUGCCUUUGAACCUGCAAUCAACACUUUGAAAGAGGUGGAAGCAUUUUUGAGUGCAAAUCCUACAGAAAUAGUCACCAUCAUAAUUGAGGAUUAUGUGCAUACCCCAAAGGGUUUAACAAGGGUAUUUACUGAUGCUGGGUUGGACAAGUACUGGUUUCCUGUUUCAAAAAUGCCCAAAAAGGGUGACGAUUGGCCCACCGUGAAUGAUAUGGUUAAAAAGAAUCAUCGUUUGUUGGUUUUUACUUCUGAUUCUUCAAAGGAAGCUGCUGAAGGAAUUGCUUAUCAGUGGAGAUACAUGGUCGAAAAUGAGCCUGGAGACCCUGGAGUGGUGCCUGGCGCAUGCUCCAGCCGCAAGGAAUCAAAGCCACUUAAUUCCAGAAGCGCCUCUCUGUUUCUAAUGAAUUACUUUCCCACAGUUGCCGUACAAAACGGGGCCUGCAAAGAGCAUUCAACUCAACUAGUUGAUACGGUUGGUGCCUGUUUCAAAGCAGCAGGCAACCUGAUGCCCAAUUACGUGGCAGUAAACUUUUACAUGAGAAGUGAUGGAGGAGGAGUUUUUGAUGUUUUAGAUCGAAUGAACGGUCAGACACUAUGUGGUUGCCCGACGGUCACGGCAUGCCAGGCGGGAGAACGUUUUGGAGUUUGUAGGAAUAUUACUGCAGCGAAUGCAGCUCCAACAGCAACCAACGCUGCUGGAAGUUUUUCUGGGUCUGUGCAAUUAACAGGCCAUGCUUCAGCAAUCCAUUUUUCUAGAAUCAUAUACCUAUUUUCAUUGUCUUCUGUAAUCCUUUUGUAUAUAUUUUGAGAAGAAGAAAAGAGUUUCAGGCAGACGUUUCCAUCAGUUUCAUCCACGGAUGCUCGAUUUCUACUAUAUUUUCCUGUGUAGAUUUUUGGAGUCGGAAUAGGUACCGUAUACACUAGAGUCCCACUUCGGCAUGUUAGAACAAAGAACAUUCAGCUUGAAGUUUGUUCUCCUAGUCAAAAAGAACUUGUAAUUUUAUGGAGGAGUUUGACAUAGAAGUAGGCAUUGGGUUGCAGAAGAAUAUUCAACAUGUAACAGUUGGGUGGUUACUGCUUUUAACAAUGUGACAGUGAUCUUGUUACCAGACCAAGACUGGAGUGGUUCCAACAUUUUUGCCUGGUUUCAAUAUAUGUGGUUUUUCCUUGGGGAGAAUUUGUUUAGUCAUUUUGUGGGGUUGACACUAUGGCUCUAUGGAAAGUUUCAGAAGAGAUACCAUUUCUAAAUUAUUAUCUACCUUAUGCUUUGAGACAAAAGAUUGCUGGCAUGUAAUAGUAGAGGAGGAUAACAUGGAGCAUAUAGAAUGGUAUUUAGUGAUGGUUGGCAAAAAAUGAAAAUAAAGGCUAGGGUCUAGUAUAAAAUAUGUGGAGAUGGAGUGAGAGUAAUGUGAGUAAAAACUCUUAGUAAAGUGAUUUACAUAUAUACUUAAAUGAUGUGAGGGGUUUUCCUUAUUUGUUCUCAGAUAUUUCUUCUUUAAAAAGUAUCUUCAACACAGUUUAAGAAUGUUCAAGCACUAAGGAAUGAUUUCACGAUUGAUGAUGCAUUCAAAUCACUUUCUGGUUAAGUAUCUAACACCAAGUGGAGCUUACAAAAUUUUAUGGUACUUGUUUGGUGGACUAGUUUGUACUCUUUCUCAAGGCGUAUCAUGUUCCUCGUCUUUGCUACCUAAAGUCUUAACAUGCUUUAGAUUUUAUACUGUCAUUGCAUAUAAGUU